rnacentral:tRNA from 1 species
GCGCCCAUAGCUCAGCUGGUAGAGCAACUGACUUUUAAUCAGUAGGUCACAGGUUCGAACCCUGUUGGGCGUACCA